GUUUAAAAGAGGGAACCACGUCGCUGUUCUUCACACAACUUUCAGUUUAUCAUAUAAACUGUUAGAUCUUUCAACAUGCGUUUGACGGUGUUCGUUUUAUUGAUAGUGAUUGUUACUGUUGUUGACAGCCAAUCAACAGUUAAUGGAACUUGGGGAGAGUGGUCGAACUUUACCGAAUGCUCCGUUACUUGUGGAGGUGGUAACAUGUCCAGAAACAGAUCAUGUGAUAACCCUGAACCAGAUCAUGGUGGACUGGAUUGUCAUGGUAACAAUACAGAAACAAUGUCAUGUAAUACUCACCAUUGUCCAGUUGAUGGUAAUUGGGGAUCAUGGUCUCAGUAUAGUUGCUGUUCUGUUACGUGUGGAGGUGGAACACGGAAACGAAACAGAGUAUGUAAUGACCCACUUGCAACUCAUGGUGGGCAAAACUGUGCAGGUCCCCAUGAAUCAACCGAAAGCUGUAAUAGUCAGGAUUGUCCAGUUGAUGGUAAUUGGGGACCAUGGUCUAACUAUGGUGAAUGCUCUGUCACAUGUGGUGGUUGGGGUAUACAGAAAAGAUAUAGAGAAUGUAAUGAUCCUGCCCAAGCUCAUGGUGGACAUCGCUGUCGUGGUAGAAGAAAGGAAAGGCAAUACUGUUACACAGAAGAUUGUCUGGAACCUAUUCUGGAACUUUGCCUAGAUGACGAGUGUGGAAAUCAUGGAGUCUAUGAAGAGGGGAUGUGUAACUGCAACCCUGGAUUUGCCGGGUCCACGUGUGAAAUUGACUUGUGUGCUGAUAACACCUGUGGUAAUCCAGAUGGAUGUUGUAGAGUACGUCCAGUUCCAGAGUCACCUGAUUGUGGUGAAACUUGUGUUGGAAGACAACAACUGAUCUGUAUCUACAGAAACUGUCACGCCUUUGUUUGUGAUGAUGGUCUAUCCACCUGUUAUGACGUCAGUGAUUCCAACUGUGUUCUGCUCUGUUCUGAACCAUAAUAAAUAUAAAAUCAUUAGACCAGACAACCAGCAGUAUAUGUCAAUAUUACCAACCUUCUCCUGUCUAUACAAGUGUUAAUAUAUUACAUGUCAAUAUUACCAACUUAUUUUCUGUUUAACAAUCUCAAUAUUACCUGUUCUUCUGUAAGCAAGUUUACGACUAAAUAAAAUAUACUGCUGAU